rnacentral:rRNA from 1 species
GACGAACGCUGGCGGCGUGCUUAAUACAUGCAAGUCGAACGGAAAGGCCCUGCUCUUGCGGGGUGCUCGAGUGGCGAACGGGUGAGUAACACGCGAGUAACCUGCCCCUGACUUUCGGAUAACUUCAGGAAAAUCGGGCUAAUAUAGGAUAGGAGCUCCUGAUGCAUGGUGGGGGAUGGAAAGUUGCGGCGGUUUGGGAUGGAAUCGAGGCUUAUCAGCUUGUUGGUGGGGUAGUGGCUUACAAAGGCUUUGACGGCUAGCCGGCCUGAGAGGGUGACCGGCCACAGUGUGAUUGAGGUACGACCCAUAGGCCAACGGGAGGCAGCAGUGAGGAAUAGUGCGCAAUGGGCGGAGGCAGGAUGCAGCAUCGCCGGAUGCGAGAUGACGGCCUUCGGGUUGGAAACCGCUUUCACCUACGACGAAGCGUGAUUAACGGUAAUAGGUAAAGAAGCACCGGCUAACUACGU